UCGCGGUGUAGCUCAGCUGGCUAGAGCGUCCGGUUCAUACCCGGGAGGUCGGGGGUUCGAUCCCCUCCGCCGCGAUUAU
rnacentral:tRNA from 1 species